CUUUUGCAUAUGUGUCCUGUGUAUUCUGUGACUCGAGUGAAAGCUGCCCUGGAAUGUUUACAGUCGAGUAACGAGCGAGCAACAGCAGGACCUCUGCCAGCGGAGACGCCAGCAGCAGCCGAGGCAGCGUGAUUGUGGGCGUCCGUCGCUGGUCAAUGUCUCUAUACUAUACCUGAAAAAAUAAUGGGCCUGGACAGGGACACGGCUCAGAGCACUCAAAAAAAUAUAUAAAUAUGCUGCUUUCGAGGGAGUCACUGGAAUCUCUGGAGAUCUGUAUUCUCAUAUGCUGACAUACUUUAAGCCCAGAAGAACGUAGUCAUCCCUGUAGACGAACCCUAAUUAAUGAGCGACAAGUGCGCCAGACUCUGGGCCUUUAAGAAGUUGGUGCCGAAGCUCGGAUGAAACGCUGCUUGAUGACUGGCUAAUAUUUUAGUAGGCAGGAGACAGCGACAGCUGCAGCGAUUUAUAAAGACGCAGGCGGAAUUCAAAGGAAAUAAUGUCACAGCUGGCUGUUGACCUUGAAAAAAUCGUUGAAUGUACACUGCGAUAAUCCCCCAAUUGGCCUACUGUGCAGAGCUUAUAGCAGACGAGCUUACGAGCAUGAAUUAUAGAAACCAAUAAAAUUAAGUGCAUUAAUUUAUUUUGUUGCUCUUGCUGGCAUGCGAAAUUGGAAGUUGGCACUGCCAAAAGCCAAGGGCAAAAUAAUCAAAUAUAACAAAAACGAUAACAGGAUUAUAUUUGAUGCAUACUGCACACACUUAUAGGGAUGCACAUGCAUUCAAAAGCCGCUGGGCAGAUUACAUUUGGAGAGCACUGUGUGUGUGUGUUGUUGGAGCCAACACAAUGAAAUGAACAACAGACAUCCUUUAAUAUCAUUAAUUGAGACCGAAAUGGAUUAAUCAAGAAAAUGGCUUGUAAAACUAAAAUCGAGAUUAUGAUGGUACAAAAUAGACAAUG